CUUAGGAGGGCGUUAAUAUCCAUAGAAAGCAAAGAAGACCUGUAUUAUAGUGAGGAUGAGUAGAACAAUUGCAGCUAGAGUUGAUAUAAAGGGCCAUGGGGUGUCAAAAUAAGUGUGCUUGAACCCUGCCCAUCUAACAUACGACCAAUAUAAAAGUUAAACAAAAAACAGACUUUUAAAGUAAAGAGCUCUAUGUAAAUUGUAAACAACGGAGCAUAGUAACCCAUGAUGUACAAAGCUUUAAUUUUUCUUCUAGGCCUUAGCAGGAAUUACAACAGGAGUUGCGUCAAUCUUAAAAAAGAAAAAAAAAGAACACAAAACCGCGAUGAGAGGAAACAAACAUUGAAGCCUUGAAGAUGAAGAUUUGAAGCAUACACUAAACCAGUCCCUGGGUUGCUAGAUUUGAAGAUGAAGAUUGAAGCCUUGUUGAAGUUUUGUUAGAUGACUAGAAGUCUAGAUCUGGCCAUGAAGUUUUGUAAAGUGAUGGACGAGAGUGUGGGAGAUUGAGAUUUGAGAGUUGUGGCUUGUGAGGGCUUUGGGGGGGGAGGGGCGGCUGCUGGAUGCAG
rnacentral:lncRNA from 1 species